UUCCUGUCUCGCUAGCGUCAUCUUCUUCUCCUUGCUUCUUAUCUGAUUUCUGGAAAUACCAAGCCAGCCGCCCGUGGUUCCCUGCAGAUACGCUGCCAUUUCACGACUCUGCUCUUUCUUUGCCUCUUGCCAGGACCACGCUUCCCAGCCAUCUUUAACUGGUCCACCGGGCACGUUUCCACCAGAGAAGUGGAACCACUGGCGUGACACAGAACGAGGGGUCUGCUCCCCAAACAACCAGUGGGAGCUGGUUAAAUGGUGGGUGCAUGGCUGUUGCUUCUGCAUCUGGUGCUGAAGCUGAAAAAGCCCACAGGGCAGGCAGCAGGGAAGGAAGGUGCUCGUGAAAGGCAGCCCAGAAGCCGCUGGGAGCCCGGAAGACUGAGCGGAGCCCAGGGCGGCCUCUCACACCCCUACCUUCGGUGAUGCUGCUGGGGAGGCGGGCAUCUGUCACCACAGAGCUGAACACACCCUGGCCCAGGAGUCUAAGAAGUUGAACGAGAAAGUCCAGCGGGAAUGGACGUCCUUGCAGGCCUGGUUGCUGCCUCAUCCCAACAAGGCACAUGAUGGGAAGUCCACGCGAGGACUCAGAGAAAAGGCAGACCCUGCAAGCCACGAAGCGAGCUCUUACCAGAAGCCAGCACUGCUGGCACCCUAAUCGUGGGCUUCUAGUCUCCAGGAUUGUGCCGAAAUAAAGGUCUGCUGUUUAAGCCA